GACGUAGGGGGCCAGCGUUGCUCGGAAUUAUUGGGCGUAAAGGGCUCGUAGGCGGUCUGUCGCGUCGGGAGUGAAAACUCAGGGCUUAACCCUGAGCCUGCUUCCGAUACGGGCAGACUAGAGGUAUGCAGGGGAGAACGGAAUUCCUGGUGUAGCGGUGAAAUGCGCAGAUAUCAGGAGGAACACCGGUGGCGAAGGCGGAUCUCUGGGCCAUUACUGACGCUGAGGAGCGAAAGCGUGGGGAGCGAACAGG
rnacentral:rRNA from 1 species